rnacentral:rRNA from 1 species
UACGGAAGGUCCGGGCGUUAUCCGGAUUUACUGGGUGUAAAGGGAGCGUAGACGGCAGGGCAAGUCUGGAGUGAAAGCCCGGGGCCCAACCCCGGGACUGCUUUGGAAACUGCCAUGCUAGAGUGCUGGAGAGGUAAGUGGAAUUCCUAGUGUAGCGGUGAAAUGCGUAGAUAUUAGGAGGAACACCAGUGGCGAAGGCGGCCUGCUGGACGAUGACUGACGUUGAGGCUCGAAAGCGUGGGGAGCAAACAGG